rnacentral:tRNA from 1 species
UUUCUCAUAGCUUAAAUUUAAAGCAAAACUCUGAAGAAGUUUAGAUUAAGAGAAAA